AAGUGGGCUUGAUUGUGGGGAAAACUCCACAGUUAAGCGCGCUUGAGCCAGAGGCGUCUUGGGAUGGGUGACCACCUGGGAAGUCCUGGUUACUGGGUGCA
rnacentral:rRNA from 1 species